CUGGGGAAACAAAGAGAAGGUGUUUCUAUUGGCUGUUGAGGAGCAGGAAGUACAUGGAGUUAAAGUAGGAAGUACAUGAAACUAGCUGCCAUUGGAAUCAAUAGCAUUCUAGAAAGCAAGAUAGACCAUGAAGAGUAUGGGAAGAAACAGGAAGUCCUAUUUCCUGGUUAAAGACCCAGCAGCUGUGUAAUAGGGACAACUUGCAGGUCAAGGGGCUCUCUGUGUUAUGACAUGUCAGACUGGGGAAACGAGUGAAGCAGUUUGGCUUUGAAUGUGUUGGCAAGAUUCCCAAGUGGUUGUCGCACAUGAGGGUGAUAGAAAAUUAAAGGACUGGCUUUGCUUGCAGUUCCUUCAGGUCAAGAGGAAAGCAGCUAAUAUUAUUGACUCCUCAACUCAAGAGAAGACCGAAAGACAUUCCUUCAAGAUGCCUUGGCGGCUAAUCAACAAAAGCCAUUGAAAGACUUAAUCCUCUAAGCUUGGCACCACAUCAGUCUGGAAGUAGUUUACAUGCAGAGUCCUUCGGAGUAAAUACUCAUUAGAGGUUCUGUUGCCUCAUUUGGUCACCCACAUUUUGCAGUGGGUGGCCCAGUUGGCAUCCUCCUUAUUUUCUUUUUCCAUCUCUGAAGAUAAUCCAGAUGAAGCAACCUGACACUACUUUCUUUGGUAUUUAAAAUCCAUUGUAAUGAAGGGUCCAUUAAUUUGUGAUGCUAAGUAAUAAGUCCAGAUAAAUA